ACGAUUCGACGCGUCGGGUCUUCAUUCCCAAUCCAUCUCUCUCUAUCUCUCGCUCUGUCUCUCCAUCUCUCGAAGGCGCUCCGUCGAGGCAACUGUUCUACCUCGUCGUCGAUCGAAUCAUCCUCCAUCCGUUCUUCGAUUUUUCUCUCCCUCGAUCGCUUCGAUCCUCUCGAGGUUCUGAAGAUUGAAGAAGAUCUCUGCGGAUUGCGGUUGACCCGGGGAUCUCCUUUUUGGGCAUCUUUUAGGGUUUCAAGGUCGGAAUGGGUGGGAAGUCCGGGUGAGUUUGAGGAGAUAAUGGUCGAAUUGGGACCGCGCAGGCGCGAUUGCAUGGGUGAAGAAUGCCAGAGCUGCAGAGUGGGGUGCGUCGAGGGGGCCAUGCUCCGCCGCCACCGACGGAAGCGGUAGAUCGCCCCCUGCGGAAUACGAGGGCACGGGCCGCUGCCAAGAAACCGGCGCCUGCUGAGGUUGCCGUCGUGGUUGGCCGUCGGGGGAGGACCAGGGCUGCGCCUUCGCGGCCGGUGGCCAAGGGGAGGCAGCGUGUGAGACUGGCCAAGGAGAGACGGGAUUUGGUCGAGGAGGGGGAGGGGAAGGGAUCGGAUCAGUUGAAGGAGGUGAUCGUGGUGGUGGAAGAGGAAGAAAAGAAAGGAAAGGAACGUGCAAAUCUAGCGGAGGAAAUAAGAGGGAAGGAAGUAAUGGGUGACGACAGCGGUGGAUUGAGCGCCAACAAAGUUGCGGUACAGGAAGAGGAGGGGAACACUACACCGUUCCCCAAAAAGGUUCAGGUUGGUGGUUCUCCCGUAUAUAAGGUUGAAAGGAAGCUGGGCAAGGGUGGGUUUGGCCAGGUAUUUGUUGGUCGACGAGUCACUGGUGGCAUUGAUCGAACAAUGGGUCCUGGUGCAUUGGAGGUUGCCAUCAAAUUUGAGCACAGGAACAGCAAAGGCUGUAAUUAUGGCCCUCCUUAUGAAUGGCAAGUUUAUAGUGCUCUCGGUGGUAGUUAUGGAGUGCCAAGGGUACAUUAUAAAGGUCGGCAAGGUGACUACUAUGUGAUGGUAAUGGACAUGCUAGGUCCCAGCCUUUGGGAUGCUUGGAAUUCUUCAGGUCAAACGAUGUCAUCAGAAAUGGUUGCUUGCAUUGCUGUUGAGUCCAUAUCAAUCCUUGAGAAGAUGCAUUCAAAAGGAUAUGUCCAUGGAGAUGUAAAGCCUGAAAAUUUCCUUCUUGGUCAGCCUGCAACACCUCAAGAGAAGAAACUAUAUCUUGUUGAUCUUGGAUUAGCCACAAGAUGGAAAGAUGCUAGCAAUGGUCAUCAUGUUGAGUAUGACCAACGCCCAGAUGUGUUCAGAGGAACUGUUCGAUAUGCCAGUGUUCAUGCACAUCUAGGAAGAACUGCAAGCCGGCGAGACGAUCUGGAGUCUCUUGCAUAUACACUAAUUUUUCUUCAUCGAGGCAGAUUACCAUGGCAAGGAUACCAGGGUGAUAAUAAAUCUUUCUUAGUUUGUAAGAAAAAGAUGGCAACAUCUGCUGAGAUGCUAUGUUGUUUCUGUCCUCCACCAUUUAAGCAAUUUCUUGAGCUUGUGGUUAACAUGAAGUUCGAUGAGGAACCAAACUACUCUAAGCUUAUUUCUCUCUUUGAUGGAUUGAUUGGAACAAAUCCAGCAUCUAGGCCAAUCAACACUGAUGGUGCUCAAAAGGUUGGUCAAAAACGUGGUAGAUUGACUAUUGAUGAUGAUGAACAAAGCCAACAAAGGAAGAAGAUCCGUUUAGGAGUACCUGCGACCCAGUGGAUUUCUGUAUAUAAUGCUAGGCUUCCGAUGAAACAAAGGUACCACUACAAUGUCGCUGAUGCACGUCUGGCACAACAUAUAGACAAGGGAAAUGAGGAUGGUUUACUUAUUAGUUGUGUUGCAUCGAGCUCCAAUUUGUGGGCCCUUAUUAUGGAUGCAGGAACUGGUUUCACAUCUCAGAUCUAUGAGUUGUCACCAUUCUUUCUCCACAAGGAAUGGGUUAUGGAUCAAUGGGAGAAGAACUACUAUAUAACUUCUCUUGCUGGUUCCAACAAUGGAAGUUCUCUUGUAGUUAUGUCGAAAGGCACCCAAUACACACAGCAGUCUUACAAAGUAAGCGAAUCUUUCCCCUUCAAAUGGAUAAACAAGAAGUGGAAAGAAGGAUUUCAUGUCACAUCGAUGGCAACAGCUGGGAGCCGAUGGGGCAUUGUCAUGUCACGCAAUGCUGGUUUUAGUGAUCAGGUUGUUGAAUUAGACUUCCUGUAUCCAAGUGAGGGCAUCCACAGACGUUGGGACAAUGGAUAUCGCAUUACUUGUAUGGGUGCCACUUGGGAUCAGGCUGCUCUUAUCCUUAGUGUGCCCAAGCGGAAGCCUUGUGAUGAGACUCAGGAAACCCUUAGAACAUCAGCAUUUCCAAGUGCCCAUGUUAAGGAUAAAUGGGCAAAGAAUCUGUACCUUGCUUCGAUCUGCUAUGGACGUACCGUAUCAUGAUAUACUUAUUUCAGCCAACCUACAUCCUAGACAUCUUUCAUACUUCGUGGAACAUGUUAAUAUAGCUUAGACAUCGAUUGAGUGAUGAUCGCGACAUAGUGAGCCUGGUGUAGGCUAUGUUACUGCUGUGAUGAAUCAAGAAGCAGCAGCCUUCCUGUGGUAUCAUAGCAAGUGGAUAGUCGAGGAUGGCCACAGAAGCAUGAGAAUUAGGAUUCUGGUCUCUGGCGUUCUACAGGCUGUCUAAUAUGAUGAUUAAUUAUUGUCUCAUGAGCUUGACAUAAUGAAUUUAUGCAAUAAUGCAGAUAGAGGAAGGAAUGACAUUUCAAACUAUUCUCUUGUAUGUUACGAAACUGUUGUCAACCAUAUGAUAUGUACGUCUGCUGGUUGAUCUAAUUUCAAAAUAUUUCCUGGUUUUGAUCAAA